rfam:Ovis aries breed Texel chromosome 1, whole genome shotgun sequence.
GUAUGUGAAAGUGUUGAAUAGAAGGCUUACUUUGGAAUGGCUAUAAGCAUUAAAAAAAAAAAAAGACUGAAAAUACAC